rnacentral:rRNA from 1 species
AGUGAACGCUGGCGGUAGGCCUAACACAUGCAAGUCGAACGGCAGCACAGGAGAGCUUGCUCUCUGGGUGGCGAGUGGCGGACGGGGGAGGAAUACAUCGGAAUCUACUUUUUCGUGGGGGAUAACGUAGGGAAACUUACGCUAAUACCGCAUACGACCUACGGGUGAAAGCAGGGGACCUUCGGGCCUUGCGCGAUUGAAUGAGCCGAUGUCGGAUUAGCUAGUUGGCGGGGUAAAGGCCCACCAAGGCGACGAUCCGUAGCUGGUCUGAGAGGAUGAUCAGCCACACUGGAACUGAGACACGGUCCAGACUCCUACGGGAGGCAGCAGUGGGGAAUAUUGGACAAUGGGCGCAAGCCUGAUCCAGCCAUACCGCGCGGGUGAAGAAGGCCUUCGGGUUGUAAAGCCCUUUUGUUGGGAAAGAAAUCCAGCUGGCUAAUACCCGGUUGGGAUGACGGUACCCAAAGAAUAAGCACCGGCUAACUUCGUGCCAGCCGCCGCAGUAA